UUGGGGAAAUUUAUGUGCACGCAAGAGUAAUUCCCAGCGAGGGCCCUCUGAAAAUCCUGGGCCCGCCCCCCGCUCUCAGCGGCCUCAUCUGUAGUGUUGCGUUAGCCUCUGCCGGGCAGCGGCGUGAAUCCGCCGUAAUGUAUGCAUGGACCCGCUCCCUCCUGAGUCUCCCUCCCAGCCCACCGUCCGCUCCUGGGUCAUCACAGAGCAUCGGGCUGAGCUCCCCGCGUUGCAGAGCAGCUUCCGGCUGGCCGUCUGUUUCACACGUGCUACUGUGUUAUAGUAUCACGGUCCGGCUGGUGACGUCUGCAGAGCUGGAAGGAGCCUUGACCUUCGGUAAACGGCGCCCCCUCGCCCAGAUUGAAAUGCCCGGGGCCAGCCUGUGUGCAGGGCUACGUGCGCCACUUCCUCACGUAGCCUGGGAGGAACAGAGCGAAAUGGGAGCCGGCUUUGUGGCAGGUAGUCAAGUAAUUGUGAAACUGGUCAUGAACUGAUAGGAGAAGGUGAAGGAGCUAAUGAAGAGGCAGAAUGAGCUCGGGAGAUCUUUUCCCAGCACUCAGAAGAGGAUCCACCCAAAAGUACAUCUGUGACCAUUCCCUUGUUUUGCAGACCACGGACUUGGGUGGUGGAGCGCAUUUUUCAUUUCAUAAUAAUAAUAAUUAAUAAUAAUAUAUGUGUGUGUAUGUUUGUGAA